UGGGGAAUUUUGCACAAUGGGGGAAACCUGAUGCAGCGACGCCGCGUGAUUUAGAAGGCCUUCGGGUUGUAAAAAUCUUUUCUAUGGGAAGAAAAUGACAGUACCAUAGGAAUAAGGACCGGCUAAUUACGUGCCAGCAGCCGCGGUAAUACGUAAGGUCCGAGCGUUGUCUGGAAUCAUCGGGCGUAAAGGGUACGUAGGCGGGUAAGCAAGUUAGAAGUGAAAUCCUAUAGCUCAACUAUAGUAAGCUUUUAAAACUGCUCAUCUUGAGGUAUGGAAGGGAAAGUGGAAUUCCUAGUGUAGCGGUGAAAUGCGCAGAUAUUAGGAGGAAUACCGGUGGCGAAGGCGACUUUCUGGCCAUAACCUGACGCUGAGGUACGAAAGCGUGGGUAGCAAACAGG
rnacentral:rRNA from 1 species